rnacentral:lncRNA from 10 species
CAAACACUGACUGAGAAUACUGAAUGGGGUGCUGGGGUGAACAGAGGAAAACUUUGGAUGCUGAGAAAAUGAUGCAAGCUCAGUGACCUCCCAUUCAACUGGAGGGGGUCUGUGGGGAUCAGAAGAAGCAAGGCUUCACUGGUUUCCAUUUUCCUGAGCUAACGGCCACAAGCUUAUUCCAAUGGACCCUUGUGAUUUGAGAUAGUUUGUGCUGGCUGCAUUUGGAGCUCCAGCUUCCGUGGGAGUUGGAGCGGAAAGAACACUGAAAUGUCCUCUUCUUGCUGGGAGCCGUGGACACCUCUUCUGGAGAAGGAUGAAGAAACUGAGGCACAGGGAUGUGAAGUAACUGGCCCAAGUGGGUGACAAAGCUGGGAUCG